rnacentral:rRNA from 1 species
CUUGACAUCCCUUGACAACUCCAGAGAUGGAGCGUUCCCUUCGGGGACAAGGUGACAGGUGGUGCAUGGUUGUCGUCAGCUCGUGUCGUGAGAUGUUGGGUUAAGUCCCGCAACGAGCGCAACCCUUAUUACUAGUUGCCAGCAUUUAGUUGGGCACUCUAGUGAGACUGCCGGUGACAAACCGGAGGAAGGUGGGGAUGACGUCAAAUCAUCAUGCCCCUUAUGACCUGGGCUACACACGUGCUACAAUGGCGUAUACAACGAGUUGCCAACCCGCGAGGGUGAGCUAAUCUCUUAAAGUACGUCUCAGUUCGGAUUGUAGGCUGCAACUCGCCUACAUGAAGUCGGAAUCGCUAGUAAUCGCGGAUCAGCACGCCGCGGUGAAUACGUUCCCGGGUCUUGUACACACCGCCCGUCACACCAUGAGAGUUUGUAACACCCAAAGCCGGUGGGGUAACCUUUUAGGAGCCAGCCGUCUAAGGUGGGACAGAUGAUUAGGGUGAAGUCGUAACAAGGUAGGCGUAGUGCU